CGGACUCGUGUCUGAUUCGCAUAUGCGGACGCGACAAACCAAACCGGCGCGCGCCGCCUAGAGACCAAUGUCUGCACCCGCAGACGUGGACGCGCCUACUAGCGUGUACGCGCAUGAGCCAAGAUGUCUGGACUUUCUUUGCUGGAACACGAACGUAAGUAUAGAUUUAUUGAUUUAUUGCUACAUUCGCAGUAAAGAUCAGCCUUUGUGUUUCCAUCAUCAUUUAUGUAUGAUUGUAAUGACGUUGUUUGAUAUUAGGACUAGCAGUAAAACUUUAUAUUCUGUAAAAAAAGGCUAUUUUAUUUCCAGCGCCGCCUCCCAGAAUGCUUUGCAUGGGGACGUGCGUCUGACGUCACGUAUACAGACAAUUCAAAAUGGCUGCACGCGCUAGGUGAGGCCAGAGCGAAGAAAAGUGGAAAAGAGUGUUAUUCGUCAAAAAACCCACACAACGACGGUCAUUUUUUCGCCGUGCUAUUGUAAAAUUGUCUUUUAUCUGUGUUUUGUGUUCCGGGGGACCCCGACUCCAGAAUGUGAAAGUUUCCCGCGUGAAGCCGCUCCACCGUCUUGCCGAGUGCCAGCAAGAGUCAUGAGUACUUGUCAACUCGACUCCUCAACUGGAGAUAACUUUCUAGCACCUCACCAUGGGGAAGGAUGUAUUCAUAUGCCUUCACCAGCACAUGCAUUAAACAUGCAGAGAGUUACACAAGUUCUUACCACCUUGGGGCACCAUUCAGGUAAAAUCUCAGCUCAUCUUACUUGCUUAUUUGUAUACACUAACACCUGUGCAUGCUUUUGUCCAUGUUGUUCCUUUGACGAUGAAUAAAUACCCCUUUUCUUUCUUUCUACAUUAAGGGUGCCUUUUCAUCUGAUUAAAUUUAUAAUGAACAGGGACAUUGCGGUUGUCCCAAGUGGAUGGUAUGAUGAUAGGAUGGUUUUCUGGCCCAGCUAUAAAAACACCGACAGAAUUGAAAGGGCCGAUUUAAAUGAGGAGCAGCAUGAGCCAAACUGGCCAAGAUUUGACGUUUCUGUUGUCCGAACUUGUGACAACUACAAAGACGCAUUCAAAAUAAUGCAACAAUAUGGAAAGGGCUGCGACACCUCAGACCUGCAAUCUGAGGCAGAGAACGAGGAGCUGCCAGAAAAAAGGAACAGGAAGCCAGUCCAUCGUCUCGGGGACUCAGAUGAUAGCGAAGAAGACCCGGGAAAUAGUGACCUCACAUCUCUGGGGUUGGCAAGCCAAUUUCACAGGCAGAUUAAGGAAUAAUCUCUUAACAUCGAAAACAACAAAACCACCACAUUAAUAUUAAAGGUAUGGUUAACAUUCUUAGUGCUAAAGAUAUUCCCCUCUCCUUGUAUCCCUUCUCCCAGCUCCACCGUCUCGCCGAGUGCCAGCAAGAGUCAUGAGUACUGGUCAACUCGACUCCUCAACUGGAGAUAACUUUCUAGCACCUCACCAUGGGGAAGGACGCAUUCAUAUGCCUUCACCAGCACCUGCAUUAAACAUGCAGAGAGUUACACAAGGAACGGCAGUCCCUCCUCGACUCCCUCCACCCCCCUCACCAGCAGCCCUCAACAUGUGGCAGACAGAGGAGCCUGGAUCCAGCCUGGCCUACAGGCCAACAUGGCGAGGGGAGAGAAUGGCCGACAACAUUUCCUGCUCUGCGCCUGAGGUAAUCCACAUCCUUAGCCUGCUGGAAACUAUUAAGCACAACCAAGACCAGCUGAUUGCGAAGGUGCUGUGAGUAAAAAUGUGUUGACAAGGUCAGCCACGGACGCUGAGGUCACCAAACACGCCAUCAGGUGGUUCAACUUGGCGGGGGAUCGGGCAACGAGGAGACGAGUCCCGCUUCCACCUCCUCAGGAGGAAUAGAGAUGUAUAUGUAUAAAUAAACAACCUUUUAUUGGACUUCUUGUCAUUCACCAGUUAUUCAUUUUCUGAUAUGUUAGCUGUGCAUGGAGCAGCGUUUCCUUGAAGUUGUAGCCUAAUAGAUUAAAUAUGUUUAUUUACUUUUUAAAUAUAUAUUAUAUAUAUUUACUUUAUAGAGUGAAUUGACCAUUUUCUGUUUCUGCCUAUUGACAAUAUUGUUAGUUUAAAAAUACAAGGCAAUGCAUAUGUAAGCCUAUAUUGCUGUAGUAGGGCUUAGUGAAUUUUUUAGUUUCCUAUUUUAUCCUACAGCAAGAACAGAAGGGAUUUUGAAAAUAAGAUAAAGGGGUCCAAAACGGCCA